rnacentral:rRNA from 1 species
UACGAAGGGGGCUAGCGUUGUUCGGAAUCACUGGGCGUAAAGGGCGCGUAGGCGGCGCGACAAGUCAGGCGUGAAAGCCCCGGGCUCAACCCGGGAAUUGCGCUUGAUACUGUCGUGCUUGAGGCCGGGAGAGGAUGGCGGAAUUCCCAGUGUAGAGGUGAAAUUCGUAGAUAUUGGGAAGAACACCGGUGGCGAAGGCGGCCAUUUGGACCGGUUCUGACGCUGAGGCGCGAAAGCGUGGGGAGCAAACAGG